UACGAAGGGGGCUAGCGUUGUUCGGAAUCACUGGGCGUAAAGCGCCCGUAGGCGGAUUGUUAAGUCGGGGGUGAAAUCCUGAGGCCCAACCUCAGAACUGCCUCCGAUACUGGCAAUCUCGAGUUCGGAAGAGGUUGGUGGAACAGCUAGUGUAGAGGUGAAAUUCGUAGAUAUUAGCUAGAACACCAGUGGCGAAGGCGGCCAACUGGUCCGACACUGACGCUGAGGUGCGAAAGCGUGGGGAGCAAACAGG
rnacentral:rRNA from 1 species